GAUCCGAGGCUUUAUUUGGGAUCCUCCGGGACCCUCUGGAAUCUUUGGGACCCUCUGGGACCCCUCCCCUAUUUCCGGCACCCCCCACACCCAUCCCCAUCCCCAAUGGACCCUCUGGGAUCCUCUGGGAUCUUUUGGGACCCUCUGGGACCCCUCCCCUAUUUCUAACACCCCCCACACCCGUACCCUUCCCCGGAGCUGGAUCCUGGCUGGGCCCUGGAUCCCUGACCGGAUCCCUGACCGGAUCCCUGGCUGUAGCCCUGACCGGAUCCCUGGUUGUAUCCCUGACCGGAUCCCUGACCGGAUCCCUGACCGGAUCCCCGACCGGAUCCCUGACCGGAUCCCUGACCGGAUCCCUGGCCGGAUCCCUGGCUGUAUCCCUGACCGGAUCCCUGACCGGAUCCCUGGCUGUAGCCCUGACUGGAUCCCUGGCUGUAGCCCUGACUGGAUCCCUGGGCGGCUCCCAGGGCCGAUCCCUGACUGGUUCCCUGUCCGGAUCCAUGACCGGAUCCCUGGGCAGAUUCCAGGGCUGAUCCCUGUCUGGAUCCCUGACCAUACCCCUGGCUGUACCCCUGACCGGAUCCCCAGCUGUACCCCUGACCGGACCCCUGACCGGAUCCCGGACCGGAUCCCGGCCCCCGGCGGAUGGGCAGGCGCCCCCCGAUGCGGGCGGGGUGCCGCAGCCCCGGCACGAAGGGGAUCCCGGGGUUCUUGUAGCCGGGGCGCUGCCGGGAUCCCCCGAAGGAGCCCGAAUCCCCUCCGUAGGAUCCCGAUCCACCUCCGUAGGAUCCUGAUCCCCCAUAGGAUCCUGAUCCACCUCCGUAGGAUCCUGAUCCACUCCCGUAGGAUCCCGAUCCACCCCCGUAGGAUCCUGAUCCACCUCCGUAGGAUC
rnacentral:lncRNA from 1 species